rnacentral:rRNA from 1 species
GAUGAACGCUGGCGGCGUGCCUAAUACAUGCAAGUCGAGCGAACAGACGAGGAGCUUGCGCCUCUGACGUGAGCGGAGGACGGGUGAGAAACACGUGGAUAACCUACCUAUCAGACUGGGAUAAUUUCGGGACACCGGAGCUAAUCCCGGAUAAUAUAUUGAACCGCAGGGUUGAAUAGAGAAAGACGGUUUUGCUGUAACUAAUAGAUGGUUACGGGCCGCAUGAGCUAGUUGGUAAGGUAACGGCUUAUCAAGGCAACGAUGCGUAGCCGACGUGAGAGGGUGAUCGCCGACACUGGAGCGGGGACACGGUCCAGACUCCUGCGGUAGGCAGCAGUAGGGAAUGUGCCGCAGAGGGCGAAAGCAUGACGGAGCAACGCCGCGUGUGUGAUGGAGGUCUUCGGAUCGUAAAGCCCUGUUAUUAGGGAAGAACAAAUGUGUAAGUUGAUGUGCACGUCUUGACGGUACCUAGUCAGGAAGCCACGGCUAACUACGUG